AUGUGCAUCUGUAUGUGUCAGUGUGUCUGUGUAUCUGUUUGUGUGUUUGUAUCAAUGUGUCUGUAUGUGUGUGUCUCUAUCUGUAUGUGUGUCUGUGCCUGUGUGUCUCUCUCUGUGUCUGUAUGUGUGUGUGUUAUCUAUAUGUGUGUUUGUAUCUGUGUGUCUAUCUGUAUGUGCCAGUGUUUGUCUGUGUAUGACUGUUUAUAUGUAACUGCAUGUGUGUACCUAUGUGUCUGUGUAUGUGUGCCAGUGUGUGUAUAUGUAAGUACAUGUAUGUAUAUGUGCAUACAUCUCAGCAUUUCGCCUACACUACACACAAAUACAAUCCUGCAUCCAAAUGUCAACACUACAAAAAAAAACACCACCAUAUUCAAAAACCACACUACAGAAAAAUGCACUCCUGCAUUCAAAUGCCAAUACGUGCAAACACACCCGUACAUUCACUCACACACACUCCAUACAAAAACAUGCUUACAUUCAAACACACAAACAGUGCUUGGUGCUAAAUACAUAAAAAUAAACAAAACACUGCUCAGUGCUAAAAACAUUAUAAAAAUGUGCAGGUGUUUUUUUUACAUUUUAAAUACACAUAACCACUCCCAUAUACACAUACAGCCAAUCACAAGCAUCUAUCCCCACACUCAUACAUGUGCCCUUGUCUCCCUAGCUGCGUUUUCACCCCAGGGCCUGUGUUGGAGGAAUGGGCCCCUUUAGGGCCCAAAUCCCACUGUUACUCUUUUACGCUCCAAUCUCCUUUCUUUGUGUACUGUGUGAGGGAUAUAUCACAAUGCUAAACACCUGUACAACUCACCACAGUGUGUGCUUAAGGAUUGGUAAAUGUACAUAUAUAUAUCUGUGUGCAUUUAAAUAGGCUACUUUGUGUUUGUUCUAAAUAGUAAUGAAAUAGAAAUGGCAAUUUUGAACUCAUUUGCUUAUAUUAGAUGAGCAUUCUAACCAUUAAAACUACCCACGAUUUGUGCAAAAGCUGUAAUAUAAAGUGCAGCUUGAAUCGUCCUCUUUAUUCUCUUUAUAAUAGUUGUAAUAAUUUGUAAAACUCACCAUACUGAGGAGCCUAACUCAGAGCAGGAUUAACCAUUCCUAGGUCCCAGGGGUUAGACAGGGGGUCCGGAACCAUCAAUUUGUUUGGCCCUAUUAACCAUACCUAUGUAGAGGAUUAGGGAAGGGGCAAACUGGUAACUUGCCUAGGGCCCCGUGAGAUCUAAACCCUUCUGUGGCCCACCCUCUCGCUUGGUUACAUCACUGAGGAAACAAUGCUUUCUCCAGCAUAUACCGGUACAUUUUCGUACAGCAUAUGUUGUAUACGGCAAAAGCAACUUGUACAGGUUCUCUCAGAGCUUCAUAAAUGUGCAGUAUGUUUGUAGGCAGAAUAGUUGCAUUCAGGUUUUUAUUGUGAUAGAUAACCUACAUAUCACAAUCCCACCAUGGACAGGGCUUAUGUGAUAUACAGAAUAUACAGGAGUUUAUGUGAUAUGCAGAGUGUACAGAGGUUAAUGUAAUACGCAGAGUGUACAUGAGAUUGUGUGACAUGCAGAGUGUACAGUAGUUUAGUGAUAAGCAGAGUGUACUGGAGGUUAUGUGAUAUACAGAGUGUACAGAGGUUUAUGUGAUAUUAAGAGUGUAGAGCAGUUUAUAUGAUAUGCAGAGUGUAAAGGGGUUUAUGUGAUAUGCAGAGUGGACAUGAGUUAAUGUGACAUGCAGGAGAUUAUGUGACAUGCAGAGUGUACAGGGGUUUAUGUGAUAUGAAGCGUGUACAGAGGUUUAUGUGAUAUUUAGAGUGUACAGAGGUUUAUAUGAUACACAGAGUGUACAUGAGAUUGUGUUACUUAUAUCCAGUAUUACUUUACUGACAGAGUAGUGGAUGCAUGGAAUAGGCUUCCAGCUGAAGUGGUAGAGGUUUUUUCAGAUGUAGAGGUGAUUAUUACUGCUGGGCUGGCAUAUCAAGGCUUAGUUUUGGAAAACCUGAAGAUAUGUGUAAAUGUUUACAGAACUUUGCACCCCCAUCAUCCUGCCCUGGAAAAACUCCAUCUCUUCAGCGUUUAUAUCUG